CAGUCGCCGCGGUAAUACAGAGGAUGCAAGCGUUAUCCGGAAUGAUUGGGCGUAAAGCGUCUGUAGGUGGCUUUUCAAGUCCGCCGUCAAAUCCCUGGGCUCAACCCUGGACAGGCGGUGGAAACUACCAAGCUGGAGUACGGUAGGGGCAGAGGGAAUUUCCUGGUGUAGCAGUGAAAUGCGUAGAGAUCAGGAGGAACACCGAUGGCGAAGGCAGCCCCCUGGGCCUGUACUGACGCUCAUGCACGAAAGCGUGGGGAGCAAACAGGAUUAGAUACCCCAGUAGUCCCUGUCUCUUAUA
rnacentral:rRNA from 1 species